rnacentral:rRNA from 1 species
UACGUAGGAUCCAAGCGUUGUCCGGAUUUACUGGGUGUAAAGGGUGCGCAGGCGGACUUGUUAGUCAGAGGUGAAAUCUCACUGCUCAACAGUGAAACUGCCUUUGAUACUGCAGGUCUUGAAUCCAGAAGAGAGUUGUGGAAUUCCGAGUGUAGCAGUGAAAUGUGUAGAUAUUCGGAAGAACACCAGCGGCGAAGGCAGCAACUUGGUCUGGUAUUGACGCUCAGGCACGAAAGCAUGGGGAUCAAACGGG